AGUCACUGACAUUAGAUACCCGCGUAGUCCAGGGUGUAAACGCUGCAGACUUGGUGUUGGAAGUCCUUUGGGGGCAUUCAGUGCUGGAGAGAAGUUGUUAAGUCUGCUACUUGGGGAGUACGUCCGCAAGGAUGAAACUUAAAGGAAUUGGCGGGGGAGCACCGCAACGGGAGGAGCGUGCGGUUUAAUUGGAUUCAACACCGUAAAACUCACCAGGGAAGACUGUUACAUGAAAGCCGAGAUGAAGACUCUGCUAGAUUUUCAG
rnacentral:rRNA from 1 species